AUGUAGAUGCACCCUGAUAAUUAAGACCCCUAGCCUUUAACGGCUGGGGUUUUUAUUU
rnacentral:sRNA from 1 species